UAUCUUCAUCUGCUAUGGUAGUUCUCCACUCGGUGAAAUCCUCUAAAUAUGAACAUUUAUACUAAAAAAACUCCAUAAUUUAGCUACAUUGUUCCUACAAGGUUAUGGGUUCUGUUCUGUUUCCUCCGCUGAAUGAGAUGGAGAUGGAGGAGCUUGCACACCUCGAAAAUGUCAAAAUAGAGCUCCUCAGACAGGAUUUCACUUGGAAAUACCAUGAACAACUCGCGGAGUUGGAACUUGCCUUCAGAUAAAGGCUUUAUCAAUCGCAUUUGCAUGCUAUAUCGCAAUACGAGGUCGAACCUACUAAGAACAUGGGACAGAAGAGAUCGAGACCUAUUGAUUUGGGAUCGCCUGAACAACAAAAGAGAGACAUAGCUGACAAUCUUGAUAAGAGGAAAAAGCAGAAGACAGAAAGGGGGAUGUUAAGUAAGAAGUUGCAGAAGGAUAGUUCAAAAUCUGUUGAUUCAAAAUUGCCUGAGGGACCGGGAUGGUGUUCAGUUUGUGAGGUUGACUGCAACACGGAAAAGGUUCUCAAGAGACACAUACUGGUGAAGAAGCAUCAAUCAAAUAUAAAAAUGUUCAAACAAGGCUCAGGAACAAGGUCUAUUGGUUCAAAAUUGCCUGAAAGACCAGGAUGGUGUUCACUUUGUGAGGUUGACUGCAACACAGAGAAAGAUCUUGAGCAACACAUUUUGGCAAAGAAUCACCAAUCGAUGUCAGAAAAGUUGGGAUAAGGCUUAGCAGGUGAGAGAAAAAAAUUCAAAGUAGCAGAAAUCUCUAACAGAGCAUAAACAAAAAGAGAGAGAUAUAAUUGACAAUCUUCAUGAACAAGAAAAACAGAUCACGAAAGAGGAUAUCCCUAGCAAGGAUAUGUUGGAAUAAGACUCAGGAGAUGGAAAAGAAGUGAAUUCAAAACAGCGAAAAUCACAAGCAGAACAUCAGCAACAAGAGAGAGGUAUGAUUAACAAUCUUGACAAAGGAGAAAAACAGAUGAUUGAAGGGGGUAUAUGUACUAUGAAGAUGCAACAAGAUGGUGCAACAUCUCUUGAUUCGGGAUUGCCUGAACGAUCAGGAUGGUGCUCACUGUGUGAGGUCAAUUGCAACACCGAGAAAGGUCUUAAGCAACACAAGUUGGCAAAGAAGCAUUGAUAGAUGUUUAAAAAGUUGGGACAAGGCUUAGCAUGUGGGAGAGAAGAAAACUCAAAGCAGCAGAAGCAACAAGAGAGAUAUAAUUGACAAUCUUCAUAAACAAGAAAAUCAGAUCACGAAAGAGGAUAUCCCUAGUAAGGACCUGCAGGAUGAUUGUUCAAGAUCUUUUGAUUCAGGAUUUUCUCAACAGCCAGGAUGGUGUACUCUCUGUAAGGUUCAGUGCACUAGUGAAAAAAAUCUUAAGCAACACAUUUUGGGGAAGAAACAUCAGUCAAAGGUAGUGAGUGAGUCACAUCCUUGAUGUCUAUGGAUAUAGUAGUAGCUCUUCCUGCUCCGAAUGUAGCGAGUGAACCACAUCCUGGACUGGGAAUCCUCCCUACUCCUAAAGUUCCUAGCAUAUAUGCUGCGGUUCCACCUCCGCCAAUCUAUAAAGGACAAAGAGGCAAAUGCUCGACACCAUCUAGAACUUCUAUCUCUCAACCUUUAGAGGUUCCUUCAAUUCCUCCUUUUCCUAGAGCAGAGGGGAAAAACAAAUCAAUGUUGAGUAAUACCCAACCUCAUUCUACAAAAGCUUCGAAGCGUAACCAACAAAAUCGUAGUGCGAGAGAACGCCGACAAAGAUGUCGUGUGCCAAGGCUCGUGAGCUUGCUGCAAGAAGUGAAUCUUCUCCUAGGCAGUUGAAUGUUGAUUUGGUCCUGCCUUCUCAGCCUUCCUUAUCAUCACCCAUCCCUUUAGAGGAGCCUUGGCAUCAUUUUUGGGUUACUUCAUGCUAUUCAAAUUUAGUUUAUUUUGCAAUCCAUAGUUCAAACUAAGAGAUUGAAUAUAAUGUACAUUAUUUUUUGAGGAGUUUUGUGAGGUCUAGAGCAUACUUUAUGCCAUUAUUACGAGAAUAGAGUAUAUUA